rnacentral:rRNA from 1 species
UACGUAGGGGGCAAGCGUUGUCCGGAUUUAUUGGGCGUAAAGCGCGUGUAGGCGGCUUGGUAGGUCAGCUGUGAAAACUCGAGGCUCAACCUCGAGCUGUCGGUUGAAACCACCUUGCUAGAGUCCGGAAGAGGAGAGUGGAAUUCCUGGUGUAGCGGUGAAAUGCGCAGAUAUCAGGAGGAACACCGAUUGCGAAGGCAGCUCGCUGGGACGUUACUGACGCUGAGACGCGAAAGCGUGGGGAGCAAACAGG